CUGGCACCUGCUCCUCUUGUCAUCAGCUCCUGAACGCAACCCUGGUGCUGGUGCACCUGACUGAUGGGGCAGACGGAAAUGCCUGCACCCUAGCUGCAAGGGAGUCUGGGAAAGCAAGGUUCUGGCGUCCACCUAAGGAGGGAUGGCCCAGACGUGGGAGGGCAGAUUUCACUGGGUAGCCAAAAAGAAUGUCAGAAGCCCACUACGUUCAAAUUUAAUUUGCAGGUGGGUGCUGACGUGGAUUGGGGUCGUCUCAAAGCCUUCUUCACUCUCGUGUUGGCUGCUGGGCGGGAAGACUUGACCAGAGCGGGCUGGAGCAGCUGGGGGCCCCCGGGCAUCUCUCUGUCUCUAGGUGGUCUCUCUAUGCGGUCUCUCCAGCAUGGGACACAGAGAGACACAAAAGGAAGAUGCUGUGAAGACACAGAGACACACAGGGAGAACGCCAUUUGACAACAGAGGCAGAGAUUAGAAUGAUGCAUCUACAAGCCAAGGGGCGCCAAGAGUUGCUGGCAGCCACCAGAAGCUGGAGCAGACGCUCUCUCAGAGCCUCCAGGCAGAACCAGCGCUGCCCAAGCCUUUAUUCCGGACUUCUGGCCUCCAGAGCUGUGCGAGAAUGAAUACCUGUCAUUUUAAGCCACCCAGUGUGCAGGACUUUGUCGCAGUAGCCCCAGGAAACGAAGGCACCUUGUCAGUGACAUUUUGGCCCCUUACAAAUCGCUGGGCUGGCUGGCUGGUUGGCAGCUUACUUCCGACUUGAUGCCAAGGUCGUCUGUGAAGGACUGUCCCCCAGUGGAAGCUGUGCUGUGUGGAG
rnacentral:lncRNA from 1 species